CAGGCAUCACUUGUACAAGAGAAGGUCACUGUACCACAAUGAUCGUAAGACUGGCUGCUUUGAUUCUUCUCAGUGCAUUGCCUCAAACCAAAGGCAUUACUCAAAAGAUCCCUUCGAUUGUGGUGAAACCUGGUGAUAACUUGACUCUAACAUGUCCAGUCUCUGGAGAUAAUGGUGUGCUGUUUUACUGGUAUAAGAAGAUGUUUGGAUAUAUGAUCGAAACUGUUGCAGUAGGAACUCUUUACACAUUGUCACUUCAAGGACAAUUUGACAGCCCAAGAUUUACUGUGACAAAAACAGGUGCUUUUUAUUUUCUUAACAUCAAAAAUGUUAGCCAUGAAGAUGAAGGAACAUACUUCUGUCAGUCAGGAGCAGCAUACGCAAUGACAUUUACAAACAGCACAGUUUUGACUGUAAAAGAUCAUAAAAAUCAGCAGAAAUCUGUUACCAUGAAACAAAGUCCUGAGACUGACACAGUCCUGCCAGGCAAAGGAAGACAAGAAUGGAACUCAGUCAUUAUAGUCCUUGGGAUACUGUUGGCUCUCUGCGUGAUUGUGAUCGCUGUCCUUAUUUUAUCUUAAGGAUGGUGACGCAAAAGCAUUGAACUACUCGAUCACUGGAUGGAAAGCAACAACAAUGACCUUCUGACUUCAGAGAACAAAGAUUCUGUUUGGAUGAAAUCUACUAAUUGUGAAGUUAGAAAUCCAUCCCAACAUGUCUGGCAUAAAUUAAGUGUGUUGCUGUUGUUAACUUUAGUAGAAGUUAGAGCGUAUAGUUAAGGCUGGAAUUAUGUUUCUUAGAUGAUACACAGAAACAUCUAUGUGGGUGUGCACAGAAAAGGAUAUUAUGGGUAAUACAUUAUGGGUAAUACACACCUCACCAAUCUCACCAUCCUAAGUGUGAAGCAAGCUUAUUGGCAGAUCCAGUGUUUGAAGGGGGGUGGGUUCAAAACAGAAAGAAAAACAUACAUUAUGCGUUAUUUACUUAUUUUUCUUAUUUCAGAGAAAAUCCAUGUUAAAUAAAAGAAAUUAAAACAUUUGUGUACACACUUGUAUUUAUACAGCACUUUCUGGGUCAAUGCACUUGACAACACUGCAUACACUCAUGGGAGAGGCUAACUGCUCUUCAAGAGCGUUAUAGUGCUUCCUAUUCAAAGUUCUCACGAUAAUACUAAGCUCACCCAUACAGGCCAUACACUAGCGUUGGGAAGUUCGAGUAUUUUAAGUGACGCGGAUCUCUUACUCUUGGGCGGUAAAAAUGAACUAAUCUUUUUAUGAGUCAUUUCAUUCA